rnacentral:rRNA from 1 species
CACGGGGGGAGCAAGCGUUGUUCGGAAUCACUGGGCGUAAAGGGCGCGCAGGUGGCUCUGUAUGUCUGCCGUGAAAGCAUACAGCUCAACUGUAUUGUGUCGGUAGAAACUGCAGGACUUGAGGCUGGGAGGGGCUGGUGGAAUUCCCUGUGUAGCGGUGAAAUGCGUAGAGAUGGGGGAGAACACUCGUGGCGAAGGCGGCCAGCUAGACCAGUUCUGACACUGAGGCGCGACAGCGUGGGGAGCAAACAGG